rnacentral:RNase_MRP_RNA from 1 species
GAUACGGUCGCGAAGCUACUUCGUAGUGAACACACGGGUUGAGCCUAUACACUACGGGGAAAGUCUCCGUGCGUUUAAUGCCUAGAGGGCACAGGGGGAAUCUCCAGCGGAUGCUGCGAAUGUUAUUUUACUCGACAUUUGCUGCUUCACUAUUUGCCGUUUGGCCAGACCAUUAAACCGAUAGUCAAUGUAGCUAGCGCCUGGCGCUGACUCAAUGGAGCUUAUCUGCGUACCGUAU